rnacentral:rRNA from 1 species
UACGAAGGGGGCUAGCGUUGCUCGGAAUCACUGGGCGUAAAGCGCACGUAGGCGGAUUGUUAAGUCAGGGGUGAAAUCCUGGAGCUCAACUCCAGAACUGCCUUUGAUACUGAAGAUCUUGAGUUCGGGAGAGGUGAGUGGAACUGCGAGUGUAGAGGUGAAAUUCGUAGAUAUCGCAAGAACACCAGUGGCGAAGGCGGACUCACUGG